UAGCGAGGCCCCUUUAAGGCGCUGGUGGAUAUCUUCAACACCCACAGUUGUCCUGAGGUCAUCUUGAAUAACCGAAGUCAUGAAUGCUGGAACAAGGUACGGAUGUUAUAGGUUAUAUUCCGUCACCAAUGGAUUGUUUUAUUUAUUUUUUACAAUCGUUUUUUCCAUGGUACAUGGAUGGACCAACCAGACCCUCAAGACUGCCAUGGGCAAGUCCCUUGAUCGGUACCAGGAAGGGUGGGAGAACAACCUUAAGGUUAUUCUCUUUGCAUACAACAGCAGCAUCCAGGCUGAGUACGGAGGGUGGUGCAGCUGUUGACUGAGAUCACUGAAAACCCACCUGAUGUGGUGGAAGUUGUCGAACCAGAUCAGAAUUCCUUCAAGGACUACAGUACCUUCAGGCAGGGACUGAGAAGGAUGUGGAGGGUUUUUGACCAGGGGAGACUGAACAUGGACAAGGUGCAGGAGAAACGGAAGGAAAGGCACCAGAGCAGAAUCAAGAAGGGGACCAAGUGCUAUGACAUUACUUGGUUUGGAAGAAAGACGAAAGGCGAGACCUGGAAAACCUUGCUGCUCUUUCGCUCCUAGCUGGGGUCACCAUCUGUUUACAUGUUGUCUUCCACCGAGGUAACCAUCUUCUACAGUUGGAGCACUUUGAAGCACCGACGGCCUACACUUCAGUGAUGCCCAAUAGACAAAGUAUGUUAAGCUUUGGUUGACAUUUGAGAAAGCAAGAAAUGGUAGUUAAGCUAAGCUUAUAAAAAUGUACCUCUCCAAACCAUCGACUGUCGGAGCCUCCGAGGAGUUAUCCCGUCCAUCAGAACCAGUGAGUUUGGAUCCGUCGAAGGGGGACCAGCUUGUGUUAAAGUACAUAUCUCCCAUUUAUAACAACGCACUAAUCCAUGCAAUUUUCUCACAGUAAAGUUUAACCUGUGUGUUUGAUUGUUUACGUCUGUCUCCUACCCUGUUCCCUUUAACUCUGCUUCUGUUCCCCAUGAGCUUGGGGUACUGCCCAACACCCAGACGUGGAUCCACCUGAUGUCUUCCAUUACCAAUCACCCUCCAACUUUUCAUGACAUCAUCUACGGCUACUGUUAUCAUUAUCUGUUAAGAAAGAGCAAGACAACUAUCAUACUGGGAACAUAAUAUGUAAGAUAAAAAGAUUAGCACUGCAAACACUCAGAACAAAGAGAGCAGCAUUGCCUGGACUUUGCAGUCUCCCUCUUCAAGUCCCCCUUCUGAGACUGGCUGCCUGUUGAGAACAAGUGACAGGCAGAACCUCCCACCCACACAGCAACCACCAAUAUAUUCCACACACCAGAAUUAGGUAUUUUAUUCUGAUUACCAUGUGAGUGCACAACAAAUCUGUGAAAAUACAUUUGACACAACUGUACCAAAAACCAUCAGUUUAUGUAUUAAAAUCUUAA